GCUGUGAUGGCCGAGUGGUUAAGGCGUUGGACUUGAAAGCCGAUGGGGUCUCCCCGCGCAGGUUCGAGCCCUGCUCACAGCG